GCCUGGGUGGCUCAGUCGGUUAAGCGUCCGACUUCAGCUCAGGUCAUGAUCUCGAGGUCAACGGGUUCGAGCCCCGUGUCGGGCU
rnacentral:tRNA from 1 species